UACGUAGGGUGCAAGCGUUAAUCGGAAUUACUGGGCGUAAAGCGUGCGCAGGCGGUGAUGUAAGACAGAUGUGAAAUCCCCGGGCUCAACCUGGGAACUGCAUUUGUGACUGCAUCGCUGGAGUGCGGCAGAGGGGGAUGGAAUUCCGCGUGUAGCAGUGAAAUGCGUAGAUAUGCGGAGGAACACCGAUGGCGAAGGCAAUCCCCCUGGGCCUGCACUGACGCUCGAUGCACGAAAGCGUGGGAGCAAACAGG
rnacentral:rRNA from 1 species